rnacentral:rRNA from 1 species
UGGCGGACGGGUGAGUAAUGUCUGGGAAACUGCCUGAUGGAGGGGGAUAACUACUGGAAACGGUAGCUAAUACCGCAUAACGUCGAAAGACCAAAGAGGGGGACCUUCGGGCCUCUUGCCAUCGGAUGUGCCCAGAUGGGAUUAGCUUGUUGGUGGGGUAAUGGCUCACCAAGGCGACGAUCCCUAGCUGGUCUGAGAGGAUGACCAGCCACACUGGAACUGAGACACGGUCCAGACUCCUACGGGAGGCAGCAUG